rnacentral:rRNA from 1 species
GACGAACGCUGGCGGCGUGCUUAACACAUGCAAGUCGAACGGAAAGGCCCUGCCUUUGUGGGGUGCUCGAGUGGCGAACGGGUGAGUAACACGUGAGUAACCUGCCCUUGACUUUGGGAUAACUUCAGGAAACUGGGGCUAAUACCGGAUAGGAGCUCCUGCUGCAUGGUGGGGGUUGGAAAGUUUCGGCGGUUGGGGAUGGACUCGCGGCUUAUCAGCUUGUUGGUGGGGUAGUGGCUUACCAAGGCUUUGACGGGUAGCCGGCCUGAGAGGGUGACCGGCCACAUUGGGACUGAGAUACGGCCCAGACUCCUACGGGAGGCAGCAGUGGGGAAUAUUGCACAAUGGGAGGAAGCCUGAUGCAGCAACGCCGCGUGCGGGAUGACGGCCUUCGGGUUGUAAACCGAUUUCGCCUGUGACGAAGCGUGAGUGACGGUAAUGGGUAAAGAAGCACCGGCUAACUACGUG